AACGGGGAAAUGUUUGACUCUAAAUCUCGGUUAAAAUGUCUCGCUCGGGAGGACGUGGAGAGCGUUAAUUAGUAAGCCGGGGACUUUGUCAUCGACGUAGCACCGGGCGGCCCAGCUCUUCCAGAAACAUCCGCGCCAUUUCAGCGUUCGAGGAUUCCUGCUCAGAGGGCCCUGAAUUUGAGAAGUGCCGAUUGGCGCAGUAUUGGUGUACUGGUGCUAACGAAGCCCGAUAGCAUUUCAAAUGGUCUUGAAACUCCACCAGAAAAAAUGGUUGAAGGAAGAAAAGGUGGUUUGCAAUAAAAAUUCUACGUGACACCA